rnacentral:rRNA from 1 species
GGCGAACGCUGGCGGCAGGCUUAACACAUGCAAGUCGAGCGGGCGUAGCAAUACGUCAGCGGCAGACGGGUGAGUAACGCGUGGGAACAUACCUUUUGGUUCGGAACAACACAGGGAAACUUGUGCUAAUACCGGAUAAGCCCUUACGGGGAAAGAUUUAUCGCCGAAAGAUUGGCCCGCGUCUGAUUAGCUAGUUGGUGAGGUAACGGCUCACCAAGGCGACGAUCAGUAGCUGGCUGAGAGGAUGAUCAGCCACAUUGGGACUGAGACACGGCCCAAACUCCUACGGGAGGCAGCAGUGGGGAAUAUUGGACAAUGGGCGAAAGCCUGAUCCAGCCAUGCCGCGUGAGUGAUGAA